UACGUAGGGUGCAAGCGUUGUCCGGAAUUAUUGGGCGUAAAGAGCUCGUAGGCGGUUUGUCGCGUCUGCUGUGAAAACUCGGGGCUUAACUCCGGGCCUGCAGUGGGUACGGGCAGACUAGAGUGCGGUAGGGGAGACUGGAAUUCCUGGUGUAGCGGUGAAAUGCGCAGAUAUCAGGAGGAACACCGGUGGCGAAGGCGGGUCUCUGGGCCGUAACUGACGCUGAGGAGCGAAAAGCGUGGGGGAGCGAAACAGG
rnacentral:rRNA from 1 species